rnacentral:tRNA from 1 species
GGUGUUGUAGUUCAGUGGAAGAAUGCCCGACUGUCCAUCGGGAUGUCGCGAGUUCGAUCCUCGCCAGCACCG